CUCCUCCACUGUGCCACUUCUCUUGGCCCACUUCAAGGAGGACAAGGAAGGACUUCUCCUUCAAGCUGAUGCAGGUGCAUCAGCUGCUGAUGUCGAAGAGGCACUUACCCUGCCUGCCAGUCCUCGGUUGAUACUGGUUGGUGAUACUCCACAUUGGAUGCUGAGCAUUGAGGGCCAGGUGGUGUGUGAGGGGACCACCUUUGUGUCUGGCCUUGCAGUACUUUUUGCGUCAUAUUACAACUUUAACCUGCAGUACCAGGAUGAGGCGGCUUGUACGCUGGAGUUCAUUCAAAGACGGUUCAUCGAUAUAAAUCCUGAGAAGGGAACAAGAGCCCAACAAGGAAAAGUGGUGUCAAAGAAGACUGGAAGAGAAGUGCAAAAGAAGCCACACAAUGUCAAUCCACACGUUGCCACACUUCUGCGCAAGCUUAUGGAUUACAAGUGGGACUUUGGAAAUUAGU